rnacentral:rRNA from 1 species
UACGGGGGGGGCUAGCGUUGUUCGGAAUUACUGGGCGUAAAGGGCGCGUAGGCGGCCUACUAAGUCGGACGUGAAAGCCCACGGCUUAACCGUGGAAGUGCAUGGGAAACUGCUGAGCUUGAGUACUUAAGAGGAUCGCGGAAUUCCCGGUGUAGAGGUGAAAUUCGUAGAUAUCGGGAGGAACACCAGUGGCGAAGGCGGCGAUCUGGGAAGAUACUGACGCUGAGGUGCGAAAGCGUGGGGAGCAAACAGG